GACGAACGCUGGCGGCGUGCCUAAUACAUGCAAGUCGAACGGUCUUUUCUAUGGAAGCUUGCUUCCACUGAGAAGAUAGUGGCGAACGGGUGAGUAACACGUGGGUAACCUGCCCAUAAGAGGGGGAUAACAUCCGGAAACGGGUGCUAAUACCGCAUAGUUUUCUUGAUCGCAUGAUCGGGAAAGGAAAGACGGCCUUUGUGCUUUCGCUCAUGGAUGGACCCGCGGCGUAUUAGUUAGUUGGUGAGGUAAUGGCUCACCAAGACGAUGAUACGUAGCCGACCUGAGAGGGUGAUCGGCCACAUUGGGACUGAGACACGGCCCAAACUCCUACGGGAGGCAGCAGUAGGGAAUCUUCCGCAAUGGACGAAAGUCUGACGGAGCAACGCCGCGUGAGUGAAGAAGGUUUUCGGAUCGUAAAACUCUGUUGUCAGAGAAGAACAAGUUGGAGAGUAACUGCUCCAGCCUUGACGGUAUCUGACCAGAAAGCCACGGCUAACUACGUGCCAGCCGCCGCCGUAAGAC
rnacentral:rRNA from 1 species